AAGAAAAGAAGAAGAAGAAGAAGACGAAGAAGAAGUCUCGAGAUCUGAUUGGUUAUCGUGACUGUCCGUUCGUGUACAGCGCACAGGAGCCUGUUUUUGUUGGUUCUGAACGCCUCAGAAAGAAUUCAAUGAUCCUGGCAACACAAGCCUGCUGAGAUAUGAUUAGAUAAAAACUUUACAAUAAUAUACAACACUGGAAGCGGCGAAAUCAAGCGGAAAUAAUGAGACGAAGAAAAUACACCAUGGGGAAUUAUUCUAUCUACAAAAAACAACUUUUCACAGUAUGUUGGGUCAAGCAGAGAAGUUAGCUGCCCCUGGCAACCGUAGUGUCAGUAGUGAAGGACUUCCUCGCUGUCUUCAACGUCUGCGUCUCUCCUGCGUUUUCACGCACGUCCGUGCAUGUGCAUAAAUGCCAUGGAAACCGCUGACGCGGAAUGGGGCGUCAUUUGCCCCAGGGCCUUCUGAAGCUCUGGAAACGCUUCAAGCGUUGGAGAAACCGGAGGAUCCAGCCAGAGCAGCCGGUGGGCGAAGGUGGUCCAGAUGGGCCUAACCCCGUCCACGUCCAUCCUUCACCCACUCCUCAGGUGGGUCACUCAUACACACCCCAUCCACCUUCUCCUCCACGCUCUCUUAUUUUUGGUCUGCUGGUCCUUCUGUUUCUCCUUCACACUCUCCUGUUCCUUGUUGCUUUGAUGUCCUUGCCUUUUCUCCUUCACCCUCACCCUCUCCUACUCCUUCUUUUUCUUCUUCUUCUUCCUCACUCUCUUCUGCUUCCUCUGGUACUUGGUGCUCUGACAUCUUUCCUUUUUCUCCUUACCCUUCUCCUUCUCCUUCACCCUCUCCUAUUCCUUCUUUGUCUUCUUCUUCUUCCUCACUCACCUCUGCUUACUCUGCUUCUCUGUGCUCUGACAUCUCUUCUUUUUCUCCUUACCCCUGUCCUACUCCCGCUUUUUCUUCUUCCUCGCCCUCCUCUGCUUACUCUAGUACUUGUUGCUCUGAUGUCCUUCCAUUUUGUCCUUCACCCUCUCCUGUUCCUAGUUGCUCUGCUGUCCUUCCUCUUUCUCCUUCACCCUCUUCUACUCCUUGUUCUUCCUUCUCCUCACCCUCUUCUGCUUACUCUCUCCUGUGACGGAGAGAGUGAAGGAGCUCAUCCAGCAGCUCAUCUUCCAGGAGAGGUAAGGAAGACAGUGAUGAGGAGGGGGCUGCUCUUGGAAGACUCUACUGGGGGACACUGUUUCCUACAGUAAAAGCAGUCUUGGAUUUGACCCCAGGGCACCUUUUUUUAGUUUUAUUUCUAUAUCAUAAGUUUAAAUGUUCAUUCCAACUUUGAGAACUAGCUUUUGCGUCUGGCUGGGCAGUUUUCAGGUCCCAGGAAGCGUCUGGCGCUGGGACCUUUCUUUCUUUCCUGGAUGAACACAAGUUUAAAUGUUAUUUUUUACCCUGAGAAGUAGCCUUUGCGUCUGGCUGGGCGGUUCUCAGGUCCCAGGUAGCGUCUGGCACUGGGGCCAGUUUUUAGUGUUUUUUAUAUUUUAGCAUGGCGGUUGGAUGGACUUUUCUUUCACCCUGAAGGCUGAGUUCAGCGCCUGGCAGGGCCGUCGAUCCCCCCAUGCAAGUUGCCCUAGCGUCUGGCAGGGUAGCUAUCAUGUUUCCUCCACAGCGAUAGAAGGUCAGCUCAGUCACAGUGGCACUGGGGACACAUGUCGUCUCCCACUGAAGCUCCUCGGCGGCAGAUGACUGCAGUGUCAUGUGUUAUGGAGGAGGCACAUGGCUGUCUGCAGUCCUCAUCCUGCUCCACACUAAAGGGGGCAGUGACUGACGGCUUCUGACCAUUACGUCUGUCUGUCCAGUGGACAAAAGGCUCAAAUGAGGAGAGGAGGUUGGAGGCCAACAGCAAACCAGAAUCAGCUCCUGCUGAAUGUUUAUAAGGAGAAGGAGACGAGGGAACCAGGAGAUGAGCAACGGUAAAUUCAACUACAAUGUUC